rnacentral:rRNA from 1 species
GACAGAGGAUGCAAGCGUUAUCCGGAAUGAUUGGGCGUAAAGCGUCUGUAGGUGGCUUUUCAAGUCCGCCGUCAAAUCCCAGGGCUCAACCCUGGACAGGCGGUGGAAACUACCAAGCUGGAGUAUGGUAGGGGCAGAGGGAAUUUCCGGUGGAGCGGUGAAAUGCAUUGAGAUCGGAAAGAACACCAACGGCGAAAGCACUCUGCUGGGCCGACACUGACGCUGAGGAGCGAAAGCGUGGGGAGCGAACAGG